rnacentral:rRNA from 1 species
GACGAACGCUGGCGGCGUGCUUAACACAUGCCAGUCGAACGGAAAGGCCCGGCUUUUGUGGGUUGCUCGAUUGGCGAACGGGUGAGUAACACGUGAGUAACCUGUCCCUGACUUUGGGAUAACUUCAGGAAACUGGGGCUAAUACCGGAUAGGAGCUCCUGCUGCAUGGUGGUGGAUGGAAAGUUUCGGCGGUUGGGGAUGGACUCGCGGCUUAUCAGCUGGUUGGUCGAGUAGUGGCUUACCAGGGCUUUGACGGGUAGCCGGCCUGGGAGGGUGGCCGGCCACAUUGGGACUGAGAUACGCCCCAGUAUCCUACGGGAGGCAGCAGUGGAGAGUAUUGCACAAUGGCCGGAAGCCUGAUGCAGCAACGCCGCGUGCGGGAUGCCCGCUUUCGGGUUGUAAACCGCUUUCGCCUGUGACGAAGCGUGAGUGACGGUACUGGGUAAAGAAGCACCGGCUAACUACGUG